AAAAAAAUGAAAAUAUAAAAAAAACUUUGCUGGAUUUACAUUGCUGAUGACGGUUGAAACGCAUCAUCACAGUCUGUGAAAAGGUCAAUUUAUUUGUGUUCUGUAGCUUUCAAUAAAAAUUAAAUAACAACAAAGUAUAUAUUUCUGCUGUUUGCCAAAGGCAGUAUAUUGUACAUUUAGUAAGAAAUGUGUUCAGCAUUAUGCGUCAAAAAAAAAAAAAAAAAAAAAAAAUAUUGCGCCAUUUUGUGAUGGCUUAGUUGGCAGUCUUUUUCUAGGAGUGCUGGAGUGCGCUGCAGCGGGCUAAGUUACAACUGCGAUCCUGAAUAGCUGGCAGGUGUUCUUCUACCAUUCAGAAGCCAUGGGGUCGUGUCAGGGCGCCGGUCCUUCGUCUCAGCUGGAUACGGCCCGGAUCCGGUUGAAUACGAGGCUCUUAAGAACAACCCCCUGAUGGGGUUAACUCCAAGGUUAACUUGCAAGAAGCGGAGAGGGCACUGUCGAAGUGGUUUACUGGAGCAAGAGACAGAGGGCAGCGAGAAUGCACCAAAAGUUGGCUGUAGCUUAAAGGGAUAGUUCACCCAAAAAUGAAGAUUCUGUCAUAAUUUACUCUACAUCAAGUUGUUCCAAACCUGUAUAAAUUUCUUUGUUCUGCUGUACAGAAAUGAUGUUUCGUAAAUGAUGACAAAAGUAGAUGAUAGCAAAUGAUGACAGACUUUUCAUUUUUGGUGAACUAUCCCUUUAUGGUUGAGUUGUAUGGCUUCUGUUGUAGUUCUUGUAUUGAAGUACUUUAUUAUAGUUGUAGUUUUGUGCCAUUAAAUAAAACUGAAAU